CGCAGCCAAGUCAAAUUCAGUGCCCGCUCCCAUCGUGGCGGGGGCUGGCCCACAUGGCUGCCACAGCAAACUGCUCAGCUCAUGGGCCCUGGGUCCCCUGCCCUGGGGCCUGGGGAUAAGUUUGGCUGCGGACAAGC
ensembl:snoRNA SNORA5C small nucleolar RNA, H/ACA box 5C